rnacentral:rRNA from 1 species
UGGGGAAUAUUGGACAAUGGGCGAAAGCCUGAUCCAGCCAUGCCGCGUGAGUGACGAAGGCCUUAGGGUUGUAAAACUCUUUCGUCGGGGACGAUAAUGACGGUACCCGAAGAAGAAGCUCCGGCUAACUUCGUGCCAGCAGCCGCGGUAAUACGAAGGGGACUAGCGUUGUUCGGAAUCACUGGGCGUAAAGCGCACGUAGGCGGAUUUGUAAGUCAGGGGUGAAAUCCUGGGGCUCAACCCCAGAACUGCCUUUGAUACUGGCUGUCUCGAGGUCGAGAGAGGUUGGUGGAAUUCCUAGUGUAGAGGUGAAAUUCGUAGAUAUUAGGAAGAACACCAGUGGCGAAGGCGGCCAACUGGCUCGAUACUGACGCUGAGGUGCGAAAGCGUGGGGAGCAAACAGGAUUAGAUACCCCCGUAUUCCCUGAGCGGGCUGGCAAGGCGCAU